rnacentral:rRNA from 1 species
AUUGAACGCUGGCGGCAGGCCUAACACAUGCAAGUCGAGCGGAUGAAGGGAGCCUGCUCCUGGAUUCAGCGGCGGACGGGUGAGUAAUGCCUAGGAAUCUGCCUGGUAGUGGGGGAUAACGUCCGGAAACGGGCGCUAAUACCGCAUACGUCCUGAGGGAGAAAGUGGGGGAUCUUCGGACCUCACGCUAUCAGAUGAGCCUAGGUCGGAUUAGCUAGUUGGUGGGGUAAAGGCCUACCAAGGCGACGAUCCGUAACUGGUCUGAGAGGAUGAUCAGUCACACUGGAACUGAGACACGGUCCGGACUCCUACGGGAGGCAGCAGUGGGGAAUAUUGGACAAUGGGCGAAAGCCUGAUCCAGCCAUGCCGCGUGUGUGAAGAAGGUCUUCGGAUUGUAAAGCACUUUAAGUUGGGAGGAAGGGCAGUAAGUUAAUACCUUGCUGUUUUGACGUUACCAACAGAAUAAGCACCGGCUAACUUCGUG